UUAUAUAUAUUAUGUCUUCGUGAUUUAAUGUCAUAUUUAUAUCGGAUUUUAUUGAAAGCUCAUUAUAACAGCUUAUAUAUGUAAAAGUCUACCACGUGACUUCAGCAAACUUACAAGUACUAUAACUAGGCCCGUAAAAAAUGAAAUUCAGUUAUAUAAACAAGUAAUAAUACAAUAACAAAUGGAGACCAUCUUACAAGCCUAAUAUAUUCUCGCAUACGAUCAAAAAAUAUUGCCAAAAGCAGAUAAUCCAUGACAGCAUGGAAAUUUAGAAAUUUCCAGCAAAAAGCUAUUAUUGAAAAAGAUGAACUUCUGAAUAUAGUUGUUUGUCUAUCAUAAAGAUGUUCUUUACUAAUUGAUGGUGUUCUAUAAUCAGUCUCAAGAAGAUCCUGGUAUAAAGAUAUAUAUCGAUUCCAGGCGGCACUGAUUCCAGAACUGAAGAUACAGGAAGUUGAGGCAGCUUAUCAUAACCUCCACGUCUACUUGAGUUACGGGCAAGAAAUUGAUAUAGGCCAAUAAUAAAAGCAAUACAACCCAAACCAUCACAGAUACCAUCAAUAAUAUAACCAGUAGAACCAAUAUCUGAUCGUUCACCAUUAAUCUUUGCUCUUUUUCUAGCAACAUGUCCAUCUAAAUCAUCCAACCAUGUUCUUGCUUGAAAAACUAUUACACCUAAGCGUCUAUAAGAUAACGAAUCACUUGAUACACAUUUACCAGCUGCCACUGCUAUGAAUAUAUGGAAACAACUGAUUGCAUUUGGUGUCACCCAUAUCCAAGAGCUACUUAUUUGCAAUAAAUCAUCCAUGAUAGCUGCAAGAGGGCUCAGAAGAAAAUGAUUUGGAUGAUCAAGCAUUAAUCCUUUUACAGUCACUGUACAUAAUGGAUUAAAAUCACAAGAAUACAACAAAAGGUCCAUUCCAAGGAAAUAUAAUGUCAAUAAUAUCAAAAUUGUUAGGAAUGACCUGCUCACUAGAGUUGUUGUACCAAACAUUUUUCAUAUAAAUUUGGCACGUAAUUAUUGGAUGAACCUGUAUAUGUACAUAUAACAAUUGUAUUAUCAUAAUUAACAGUAUUUUGUCCUGCAACGAUGAAUGUGAUAUUCAAAGAUUCGCAGUAUGAUAUGAUCUCACAUGGUUACAUGAAAUCUUAUAGAUUCUGAAUGUAUUAUUUCGAUCAAUUAAUAUAUAUCAUAUUAGUAUGUUUCAUGCGAAGAUUUAAAAAGCAUUUUGAGCUUAUUUAAUGUAUUAUUUAUCAAUAUAAUAUGACAUUUUUUUUAAUCAAUUUUUAAUCGCACUAUUGUCACAUAAUUUCUUUUUUUAAUUGUUCAAUAAAAUAACUAAUUAUAAAAAUUUUUAUUCCGUAGUAUUUUUUUUUAUUAUACAUGAUUGUUCAUCAAAUUAUGCACAUGAUCUUAUGAAAACUAUUAUAACCGGCAAAUUGUACUAAAACGCAUUACACUUUGAACAGAUGAAA